rnacentral:lncRNA from 1 species
CUCGGGCCCCACCCGGCGUACCCCCUUCGGCACCCGCAGCCCCGGGUCGGAGCGAGGGCGCCGGGGCUGCGGGCUUCGCUCGGCCCGACCCGCCUCGGAGAGGCCGCGAUCCCGGUGCGCUCCUGGGCUGCACGGGUGAGCGAGCGGCCGGACAUCCUGUUGGCACCGAGCCAAGCGGUGAAUGAUGGAUGGAGGCCACGGGAGCGCCGUGCGACCGCGGUCGUUAAUGAGUAAUUACAGAGCGGCCGGGGCGGCUGACAUCCGGAAAGCCACGUGCCGAUUGCCCACGGGUGGCGAGGUUGGCGGUUACAAACCUGACUUCCAGAGAGAACAGUUUUAUUACGAAGCGGAUGAACUCUUAAUUCCAGAAAGUUACUUCAGCGUUGAUUACAAAACAGUUGAAUGUAGAGCUGAGGGGUUACUAGAAACGCAUCCAGCUGGGAGUGGAGGCCCACACCGCAAUCCUAGCACUCAGGAGGCUGAGGCAGGGGGAUCGCUGCAAGUUGAAGGCCAGCCUGGGCUACAGGGUGAGUUCAAGGCCAGACUGAAUUACAGAGACCCUGUCUCGAAAAAACGAACAAGCGAGUUAGGGCGUUCAGUACACUGUUAGUCAGAAGAGCUGUGCCUGAGAGUUGUAUCUUCAACUGACUUCCUCUGUAACUUUGUGCAAACAAAUCCCUCACAACCCCAUUGCUACACAGUAGAAUAAUAGUCCUCUCCAUGCUGUAAGGUUGCGGACAGGCUAAAAUGAUGUUGAGGUCGGACAGGAGACUUAAGACAGGUGGAAAGGAGACAGAGACAAGGCAAACUGCGCGUUUUGGUGUUUUCCCUGCCAGGCCCAGCAACACCCAAACCCUGUAAAAAUCUUCUAAACCUCUUGAUAAGGUGAAAGGCAACAACCUGACCUUCUAGUAAAGAAGCAGAGUCCAAGCUUUCAAAGCGCACUGUUAGGUAAAACACCCUAGACAGCCAUCCUCAAGGAUGCUGGAGCCCCAGCCGGCAGCCUCUCUGCUCAGGGCCUGUGCUCUGUCUUCUCUGCCCAGUAAAUCUUCCUUAGCCUCACCCCCACACAUCCUGAUUUCUCGUGGGGUGGGCGGAGUACUGCGGAUUGAGCCCAGUGCUUUUGCACUGAGCUACAUCCCCAGCCCUUUUUUAUUUUUUAUUUUGAGAUAGGGUCUCACUAAAUCACUAAGUCACCCAGGCUGGGCUCAAACUUGCAAUCCUCCUGCCUCAGCCUCCCGGAGUACUGGGAUUACAGGUGUGUGCUACCGCGCCCAGCCUUACCGUGAUCUUAAUGUCCGGUUUGCUUCUGGCUUUUUGCCUCCUCUUUCAGCUCCCAUAGUGUACAAGCUGGGGAACUUUUAACAGACAGCAGGGCAGCCGGCUGCUGCUGGGUCUGACCCUCCCCGCAGCUCUGUAUCCGAUUUCUCGCUCCCCAUGUGCUGUCAUUCUGAAAUGAAGCUCCCUGAGUGUUUCGUGCUCUUUUCUGGCUGUGUGUGAGUUCAUGAGUGUGUGUGUGCAUGUGUGUGUACACAAGACUGAACCCAGGGCCCUGAACACACAGGCUCCAUGUCUGAGCCACACCUCCAGCAGUUCAUACUGUUUUUCUGUCUUGAACUCUUUCGCGGCCACGCUUGCUGAACCCUUCAAGACUCCCGCCUGAACCUGGCUUGGUAACCCUAGCAUUUGGGAGGCUCAGGCAGGAGGACUGAAGGUUUGAGGCCAGCCUGAGCUACAUAGUUUAAGGCCAGCCUGUAGUAAGCUCAGUGUGGAACACCUGAGGUCCUGGGUUCGAGCCCCAGCACCGCCGGGGGUUUGGAUUUGUAUAAGGACUAGAAAAAAGUGACACCCUAAAACCUG